UUGUAACAUCCUCUGUGCUUCAUAACUUCUUUGAUGUCCCCAUGAAAUUGUUCUAAGAGCAGUCUUCUCUGAUGUCACCAUGAAAUUGUUCUAACAGGAGUGGGCUGAGCAAGUCCAGCCAGUUGGACAAGCAUGUACCUGAAGAUCCCAAGAGGAAGAAAUAGAAGCUCUACUUAUCUGAGCACAGAUUGG
rnacentral:lncRNA from 1 species